rnacentral:tRNA from 1 species
GCACCUGUGGCCGAGUGGACAAGGCGCCUCCCUGCUAAGGCGGUGGGGUUUCCCCGCGUACGUUCGAAUCGCAUUGGGUGCG